rnacentral:rRNA from 1 species
CUGACUGUGGUGGUGGUCACCGUCGUGGGGUUACCGCUGCGAGGAGGAGGGGAGGGUGUGCCGGUCGGUGGUGGCGCGGCAGAAGAGGCCCCCGCGCGUGGUGGUGGACGAAGAGGUCGCCCUUGAAGAGUCCCUGCGGGACGAGCGCGGCUCCGCGUCCGGCUAGCGCCAGCGCACGGCCCGCCGCAGUCGCCGCCGGUCCCGGUUCCGAGGGGGCUCGCGUAGGGGCGGCGGCGUCCGCGAUCGGUUCCUCCGCGUGUUCAUGAAGCUGGUGCGCCAGCAGUCGCACGCGCGCCCCCUGCCGCCGGUGCCGCGGCAAGAGUUGUACGGCGGCCCGAGGAGGCGCCUGCGCCGGUGGAGCUUCGGGGCGCCGCCGCCGUCCCGGCGCCUGUUCCCUUUCCGGUUCUUCCCGUCGCCCUUCUUCCACAGCAAGUUCGCCUUGAUGCUGCCCAGGCACAGCGACGGGCACCCGCCCGUGCCGCCGCUGCACCACGACAUGCGGCUGCUCCGCCUCCUCAGCGACGACCCCAAGGUGCGGUUCCGGGCCGUGACGCGGUUCUCCCCGCCGUUGCAGCCCCGGUGGCCGUGGGAGUCGAGGGCCUACGUGUUGCCGAGGCGGCCCCUCUGCGAGUCCUAUGGGCACGGACAUCCAUGGCAACACUCCGCGUUCUUUCCCAGACAAGAACGGCUAAACCGAGUAGGACCACUACUCCACGAGCAGCGAUCCCCACCUGUCCCGCCCUAGUCGAACUAGCUACGCGGGCUAAUGUUUUCUCCCUUUCGGUACCGAAAUAGAGGAUUACAGUACGCACUACAAUGACUAUUCCAUAAUUGCGUACCGGUCGGACCACUCCUUUAUUCGAACCUCAAUUAGAAUUCCCACCAACGUCUACAACCGGAACACCCUGAAGGUUUACGACCUUUUAGUUGUGAAGAUAGUCGAUAUUGCGAACGUGCUGGUCUGUAACGACUAAUAGGUAAGUGAUGUAAUUACGGUUUAGAACCGGCCGAACCACCUCUAGGGUGAAAUCCCCGCAACGUCAAAAGGAGACCUCGUUGUAACCGUCUAAACGGCCCAGAAUAACUCCCGCGAGUAGACCCGUUCCCAGAACCAGCGUUAAAGAACUCUGUAAACUCCUCUUGCUCCCAUUAGCAGGUGCAGCAACUACGACGACUACUACUGGGACACUUGUUAAUAUUCUAACAGUCUCUUCUUAAUUCCUACAUAUUGGGGUUUAUGGACCUCGCCGGAAUACAACACCAGGACUUGUUCUAACUAGAAGGAUUCCGGGUUCUAUCCAAUAGAAGUAACCGUGAACUUUAUAGAAGUCAUCCGACACCUCUUACGGUACUGUUUUUACGGUCGCUUCCUUUUGAUCUACUUUUGAAGUUGUCUGUGGUAUGGAGUCUUCUACUACUAUUCCUUGAACCUCUGAUGGGUUCCGGAGUUCGACAUUAACCGCGUUCGCAUGACUCCGUGUAGCCCUAGCUGCUCUACGACUUCCUCUAUUCCUGUCGGGACCUUUUUACGAGACUAGUGUACAAUGGUCCUGGUACUUAGAUUUUCGGACGUGCGAACCUCGGGAAUCGUAGUCAGGUUUUGGGUCUUUGAUAGCUCGAAAACUAGCUCAACAAGAAGUUGUCGUCGCCAAACGCUGUGACAACCGUCAAGGACCUCAUGUUCUGGUGGUGGUUAGACUAACAGGCUCAACAACUGCGCCUCUCGAACUCGCAGGCUCGUGCUCGUCGACGUUGGUAGGUGCGACCGACACGGAUAAACCGAGCAGUGUGACGGUAUAUUUAUUUCCCUCUCUUUCUUUGAUCGAAAAACUAAGUGUUAGUGUAUUACGGUGAAAACUGUGUGCCGCUUUGGACUGUGUU